rnacentral:rRNA from 1 species
UAAGUAAGCUUUGAUCCAGAGAUUUCCGAAUGGGGAAACCCAGCAUGAGUUAUGUCAUGUUAUCGAUAUGUGAAUACAUAGCAUAUCAGAAGGCACACCCGGAGAACUGAAACAUCUUAGUACCCGGAGGAAGAGAAAGAAAAUUCGAUUCCCUUAGUAGCGGCGAGCGAAACGGGAAGAGCCCAAACCAACAAGCUUGCUUGUUGGGGUUGUAGGACACUCUAUACGGAGUUACAAAGGACGACAUUAGACGAAUCAUCUGGAAAGAUGAAUCAAAGAAGGUAAUAAUCCUGUAGUCGAAAAUGUUGUCUCUCUUGAGUGGAUCCUGAGUACGACGGAGCACGUGAAAUUCCGUCGGAAUCUGGGAGGACCAUCUCCUAAGGCUAAAUACUCUCUAGUGACCGAUAGUGAACCAGUACCGUGAGGGAAAGGUGAAAAGCACCCCGGAAGGGGAGUGAAAUAGAACCUGAAACCGUGUGCUUACAAGUAGUCAGAGCCCGUUAAUGGGUGAUGGCGUGCCUUUUGUAGAAUGAACCGGCGAGUUACGAUUUGAUGCAAGGUUAAGCAGUAAAUGUGGAGCCGUAGCGAAAGCGAGUCUGAAUAGGGCGUUUAGUAUUUGGUCGUAGACCCGAAACCAGGUGAUCUACCCUUGGUCAGGUUGAAGUUCAGGUAACACUGAAUGGAGGACCGAACCGACUUACGUUGAAAAGUGAGCGGAUGAACUGAGGGUAGCGGAGAAAUUCCAAUCGAACCUGGAGAUAGCUGGUUCUCUCCGAAAUAGCUUUAGGGCUAGCCUCAAGUGAU